rnacentral:rRNA from 1 species
AUUGAACGCUGGCGGCAUGCCUUACACAUGCAAGUCGAACGGUAACAGCUCUUCGGAGGCUGACGAGUGGCGAACGGGUGAGUAAUACAUCGGAACGUGCCCGAUCGUGGGGGAUAACGGAGCGAAAGCUUUGCUAAUACCGCAUACGAUCUACGGAUGAAAGCAGGGGACCCUCGGGCCUUGCGCGAACGGAGCGGCCGAUGGAAGAUUAGGUAGUUGGUGGGAUAAAAGCUUACCAAGCCGACGAUCUGUAGCUGGUCUGAGAGGACGACCAGCCACACUGGGACUGGGACACGGCCCAGACUCCUACGGGGGGCAGCAGUGGGGAAUUUUGGACAAUGGGCGAAAGCCUGAUCCAGCAAUGCCGCGUGCAGGAUGAAGGCCUUCGGGUUGUAAACUGCUUUUGUACGGAACGAAAAGUCUCGGGAUAAUACCCUGGGGCCAUGACGGUACCGUAAGAAUAAGCACCGGCUAACUACGUGCCAGCCGCCGCCGUAAUAC